rnacentral:rRNA from 1 species
GAUGAACGCUAGCGAUAGGCCUAACACAUGCAAGUCGAGGGGCAUCACAUGAAGUAGCAAUACGGAUGGUGGCGACCGGCGCACGGGUGAGUAACACGUAUGCAACCUGCCUUCAACAAGGGGAUAACCCGUUGAAAGACGGACUAAUACCCUAUAACACAGGGGUCCCGCAUGGGAAUAUUUGUUAAAGGACAACCGGUUGAAGAUGGGCAUGCGUUCCAUUAGCUAGUUGGCGGGGUAACGGCCCACCAAGGCAACGAUGGAUAGGGGAACUGAGAGGUUUAUCCCCCACACUGGUACUGAGACACGGACCAGACUCCUACGGGAGGCAGCAGUGAGGAAUAUUGGUCAAUGGACGCAAGUCUGAACCAGCCACGUCGCGUGAAGGAAGACGGCCCUACGGGUUGUAAACUUCUUUUAUACGGGAAUAAAGUGCCCCACGCGUGGGGUUUUGCAUGUACCGUAUGAAUAAGGAUCG